AGGACGACGCUGGCGGCGUGCUUAAUACAUGCAAGUCGAACGGAGCCUAGCCGGUAGUUUACUACAGGCGAAAGCUUAGUGGCGGACGGGUGAGUAACGCGUGGGCAAUCUGCCCCUAAGUCCGGGAUAACAGAGCGAAAGUUCUGCUAAGACCGGAUACUCUUCCUUGGUCGCAUGGCGGAGGAAGGAAAGGAUACGCUUAGGGAUGAGCCCGCGUCCCAUUAGCUAGUUGGUGAGGUAACGGCCCACCAAGGCGACGAUGGGUAGCCGGCCUGAGAGGGUGGACGGCCACACUGGGACUGAGACACGGCCCAGACUCCUACGGGAGGCAGCAGUAGGGAAUUUUCCGCAAUGGGGGAAACCCUGACGGAGCAACGCCGCGUGAGGGAAGAAGGUCUUCGGAUCGUAAACCUUUGUCAUCGAGGACGAAAACUGACGGUACUCGAGGAGGAAGCCCCGGCUAACUACGUG
rnacentral:rRNA from 1 species